UACGGAGGAUGCAAGUGUUAUCCGGAAUCACUGGGCGUAAAGCGUCUGUAGGUGGCUUUUUAAGUCCGCCGUCAAAUCCCAGGGCUCAACCCUGGACAGGCGGUGGAAACUACCAAGCUGGAGUACGGUAGGGGCAGAGGGAAUUUCCGGUGGAGCGGUGAAAUGCGUAGAUAUCGGGAAGAACACCAAAGGCGAAAGCACUUUGCUGGGCCGAAAACUGACACUGAUAGACGAAAGCUAGGGGGAGCA
rnacentral:rRNA from 1 species